rnacentral:misc_RNA from 1 species
GGAGAACAUUUAGCAUUCACUUCUUAGUGGGCAUAACCAGUUUCAUGCUAGCAGCCUUUAUCAUCUAUCGUCGCGAGAGGACCUUUAUCAAUAAUAUCAUACGUUUCCGGGAGCAUGCUGACUGAAGAAGAAAGUCCCACUCCAGUCAAAGCAGCAACUUAUAAGGGGUGCUCGAUGCCUUUAAAAAUGAGGUAUACGCUUUAAGCCCGAGAAAAACUUACCCGCACCGAGACUUUACACCAAGCCAAUACAUGCCUGUUAUGUGUUUAAAUCGAAGGGCCUAUUUGUUUCAUUAAUAAUAAAAUUAUUGUAGGCAUUUUUUAACAAGAUGAAACAUAUUAU